rnacentral:SRP_RNA from 1 species
AGCUAGGUCGGGAGGUUAGUGGUCUCUUGUAAGCUCAAAUCCUCUAUACGGAGCGACCGAAGUAUUUGGAGAGGCAUAUUAAGUAAUUUUAAGCCUAUUUUUGUAAUGUAGAAGUUUCGUCCCCUGGGAUUAGUGGUGGUAGGAGUUUAACUGGAGGGUUAAAUUCAACUAUCUUAACUAAUUGAACGGGUCAGGUCUGGAAAGAAGCAGCUCUGUUUUAGACAGCUGAUGUUCAGGGAUCAGCGGGGUGGAGUUACGAAUUUAGAUAACUUAUCUUUAUA